CCAGGCAAAGGGAGAAUCUUGCUGGGAAUCUCGCUUCUAGCCAAUGAGGAAUUUUCAGAAAAGCGAAAUGGAAGGCAUCAUUUUGACAUCUCUGCAGAUCUGUAUUCCGAAAGGUACUCAGAUAUCCACGAAGUCCUCCUCAUCUCACACCAUCGUUUCUCUCACUGGGCACAAUCCAGCUUUAAAGAAUUCAGCACUUACUGGUCUUCAGAGGACUGUCAGCAAUGACAGCAACCAGGGAUGCUGACAUGUCUUGUUGUUUACAAAGGAUGAGCACAAGGCCUUUUGGAUAACCUGAUAAGCCCUGCAACUCCUCUCUCCCUGUUCCUCACCUCUCUGGACCAGCUGCCUUUGUGUGGUGGCAAAACUGAGAUUUUGGGAUCCAUGCAGCUCUAUGGAAUAUAUUAUGGGUGAAUUUUGAACCCAGGUCUAUGUGCUUCCAGGUAAGUUUUCCAUUUUGCCACUCUCUCCUGUGAGCCUAGUCUUAAGGUGGAGUCCUAACUGGGACACUGAGGACAGAAGGGCCCAUUGAUUGAGACUCUCUGACUGCGAGAAACAGUGGAAUGCAAAAUAGCAUGCUCACAGCUGUUUUCAAGCAAUAGCACCAUCUAAAACCACUUGGAAUGAAGAGACCUAUGUGGCUAAGAACUGAUGCAAAGGAAGAAUAUUCACUCUGGGUCAGUGUUUGAGCCUAUAGAAUUAGCUAAUAUUGUUGAUUUUGCUGCCUCUCUGAUAUGUUGGAGGCAAUUUCCAUCCUCCUAAACAUGUUAAAUGCAUUUUGUGGUUUUAACAGGCUAAAGUGUUAACUCUUGUUUAAAUAUCUAUAUUUAGCAUUACUUAUAGAACUAACACAAGUACAUUCUCUUCCAUACAGAGAGAUUAACUUUUUCAGAAAAUUAUUCAAAUAAUUCAUUGGACCAUUAUGUUAGGGAUGCUUACUCAUCAAUUCCAGAUAGAGUUGAUAAAGAUUUGUGCCCAUAUGGGAUGCACUCUGUAGAGUAUCCACAUGUAGAUUGGACCUACUAGUGCUACCUCUAGCAAAAUGAGAAUGUUACCAGUAAUCAUCACACAAAGGAUGUCAUGGUAAAUCAAGGCUCAGAAAAUGAUAUGCUACCUAAGGGAUGUGGCAUUGUGCUUCUACCUUGUUUCUUCUCAAGCCCAGUUACAUCAGUUUCUUCUUGUUUCUUCUUUAGUCUGGCUGUGGCAUUCAGACAUUUGUUCAGCUCCAGGUUUUGUUUAUUUCUGGUUUUUGUUUGAUUCUGGCUUGAGCUUGUGGGGAGUAAUUGUGUAGUUUAAGGUCCUUCUACUUCUAGCUCAUCUUGAAUCCAUGUGUCAUUUUCAUGACUGGGUUUUUUUUUAUUUCUCAAAUAAAUGCAUUGGUCUGCCUGCCCGGCUUUUGCACAUUUCAGGCUUCCAUCUGCAAAGAAAAGAGACCAUGAGAUCUGCUAACAUGCAAAAAGAAGAUAAAAGCAUUUUAAAAAAAUGUCUUCCUGCACACAGGCCUGCUUUAUAAUAAACCAGAACAGUGCAGGAAUUAAGAUGUUGUUGAAAUGCCCAAGUGUUUCUGCCCUUUUAUUACGUCCAGGGUGAUGAGGUCAUGGCUUACUGUUUAGCUUAUGUGGUACAAUUAAGAGAUUCAUUUCUUAACGUGAUUCAUCUCAGGAAGAGUUGACUCAGAAAAGUUUUAGGGGAGAGGCAAGACUUGUAUGAGGAGAUUUUGAAAAAUUGUGCUUUUCUUCUGGAAGUUUGAGUUCAUUUUUUAUUCCAGGUAAGAAUGAGGAGAACUGCAAUGAGUCUGUGUCAGAUUUCUGAGUAACAGGGAGCUGUUGUUGAUUGUUUUUGGAGACAGGAUCUCACCCUGUUGCACAGACUGGGGUGUGGUGCUACGAUCAUGGCUCAGUGCAACCUUGACCUCCUGGGCUCAAAAGAUUCUCCCACCUCAGCCUCCCAA